rnacentral:rRNA from 3 species
GCCAGCAGCCGCGGUAAUUCCGACACAGGGAGUUUUCCAUUUGGUUGCUGCAGUUAAAAAGUUCGUAGUUCACUUACUCUUUCACUAUAAGCAAAGCCGAAUGCUCAAAGUUAUUUAGCAGUAGUUAUAGUAUGAAAUUAUAGCGCGGCAUUGAACGUAGUUUGGGGUACUCGAUAGGGACAGGUGAAAUAGGAUGAUCUGUCGAAGACCCACGGUAGCGGAGGCUCCCAACGAAGUCCAAGUGUCACGAUCAAGAACUAAAGUCAGGGGAUAGACGACGAUUAGACACCGUUUUAUUCCUGACCCUAAACGAUGUCGCCUAGCUGAUGGAACUUUUUUCAUUUGCCAAGAGAAAUCGUAAGGUUUCAGACUCUGGGGGAAGUAUGAUCGCAAGGUUGAAACUUGAAGGGAUUGACGGAGAGGUACCACCAGACGUGGAGUCUGCGGCU